rnacentral:rRNA from 1 species
GGCUCAGAUUGAACGCUGGCGGCAGGCCUAACACAUGCAAGUCGAGCGGUAGCACAGAGAGCUUGCUCUCGGGUGACGAGCGGCGGACGGGUGAGUAAUGUCUGGGAAACUGCCUGAUGGAGGGGGAUAACUACUGGAAACGGUAGCUAAUACCGCAUAACGUCGCAAGACCAAAGUGGGGGACCUUCGGGCCUCAUGCCAUCAGAUGUGCCCAGAUGGGAUUAGCUAGUAGGUGGGGUAAUGGCUCACCUAGGCGACGAUCCCUAGCUGGUCUGAGAGGAUGACCAGCCACACUGGAACUGAGACACGGUCCAGACUCCUACGGGAGGCAGCAGUGGGGAAUAUUGCACAAUGGGCGCAAGCCUGAUGCAGCCAUGCCGCGUGUAUGAAGAAGGCCUUCGGGUUGUAAAGUACUUUCAGCGAGGAGGAAGGCGUUAAGGUUAAUAACCUUGGUGAUUGACGUUACUCGCAGAAGAAGCACCGGCUAACUCCGUGCCAGCAGCCGCGGUAAUACGGAGGGUGCAAGCGUUAAUCGGAAUUACUGGGCGUAAAGCGCACGCAGGCGGUCUGUCAAGUCGGAUGUGAAAUCCCCGGGCUCAACCUGGGAACUGCAUUCGAAACUGGCAGGCUAGAGUCUUGUAGAGGGGGGUAGAAUUCCAGGUGUAGCGGUGAAAUGCGUAGAGAUCUGGAGGAAUACCGGUGGCGAAGGCGGCCCCCUGGACAAAGACUGACGCUCAGGUGCGAAAGCGUGGGGAGCAAACAGGAUUAGAUACCCUGGUAGUCCACGCCGUAAACGAUGUCGACUUGGAGGUUGUGCCCUUGAGGCGUGGCUUCCGGAGCUAACGCGUUAAGUCGACCGCCUGGGGAGUACGGCCGCAAGGUUAAAACUCAAAUGAAUUGACGGGGGCCCGCACAAGCGGUGGAGCAUGUGGUUUAAUUCGAUGCAACGCGAAGAACCUUACCUACUCUUGACAUCCAGAGAACUUAGCAGAGAUGCUUUGGUGCCUUCGGGAACUCUGAGACAGGUGCUGCAUGGCUGUCGUCAGCUCGUGUUGUGAAAUGUUGGGUUAAGUCCCGCAACGAGCGCAACCCUUAUCCUUUGUUGCCAGCGGUCCGGCCGGGAACUCAAAGGAGACUGCCAGUGAUAAACUGGAGGAAGGUGGGGAUGACGUCAAGUCAUCAUGGCCCUUACGAGUAGGGCUACACACGUGCUACAAUGGCAUAUACAAAGAGAAGCGACCUCGCGAGAGCAAGCGGACCUCAUAAAGUAUGUCGUAGUCCGGAUUGGAGUCUGCAACUCGACUCCAUGAAGUCGGAAUCGCUAGUAAUCGUAGAUCAGAAUGCUACGGUGAAUACGUUCCCGGGCCUUGUACACACCGCCCGUCACACCAUGGGAGUGGGUUGCAA